rnacentral:ncRNA from 1 species
UACCUGGUUGAUCCUGCCAGUAGCAUAUGCUUGUCUCAAAGAUUAAGCCAUGCAUGUCUAAGUACGCACGGCCGGUACAGUGAAACUGCGAAUGGCUCAUUAAAUCAGUUAUGGUUCCUUUGGUCGCUCGCUCCUCUCCUACUUGGAUAACUGUGGUAAUUCUAGAGCUAAUACAUGCCGACGGGCGCUGACCCCCCUUCCCGGGGGGGGAUGCGUGCAUUUAUCAGAUCAAAACCAACCCGGUGAGCUCCCUCCCGGCUCCGGCCGGGGG